GGACAGAGAGAUUGACGGGGACGUCACCCAUCGUAUAGGAGCGGGGUGGGCAAAAUGGAGGCUCGCCUCAGGGGUCCUGUGUGACAAGAAAGUUCCACACAAACUCAAGGGGAAAUUCUAUAGAGCCGUGAUUAGACCUGCUAUGUUGUAUGGGACGGAGUGCUGUCAAGCUCAAGGGGAAAUUCUAUAAAGCUGUGGUUAGACCUGCUAUGUUGUAUGGGUCGGAGUGCUGGCCCGUGAAAGUCUCCCAUGUUCAAAGAAUGAAGGUUGCAGAGAUGAGGAUGCUUAGGUGGAUGUGCGGG
rnacentral:lncRNA from 1 species